rnacentral:rRNA from 1 species
GACGAACGCUGGCGGCGUGCUUAACACAUGCAAGUCGGACGGAAAGGCCCUGCUUUUGUGGGGUGCUCGAGUGGCGAACGGGUGAGUAACACGUGAGUAACCUGCCCUUGACUUUGGGAUAACUUCAGGAAACUGGGGCUAAUACCGGAUAGGAGCUCCUGCUGCAUGGUGGGGGUUGGAAAGUUUCGGCGGUUGGGGAUGGACUCGCGGCUUAUCAGCUUGUUGGUGGGGUAGUGGCUUACCAAGGCUUUGACGGGUAGCCGGCCUGAGAGGGUGACCGGCCACAUUGGGCCUGAGAUACGGCCCAGACUCCUACGGGAGGCAGCAGUGGGGAAUAUUGCACAAUGGGCGGAAGCCUGAUGCAGCAACGCCGCGUGCGGGAUGACGGCCUUCGGGUUGUAAACCGCUUUCGCCUGUGACGAAGCGUGAGUGACGGUAAUGGGUAAAGAAGCACCGGCUAACUACGUG